UAGGCCGUGCCCGCCGAGAAGGACGCCGCGACGUUCAGUUGUCUUGCCGUCCGUUUCGUUGCAGUUUGUCGGUGCGCCAACGAAUCCGCCGCCGUUUCUUGCGAGCGGGCGAUGCGCGUUUGUUUCCGUUCGUCGAGAUCGUCGUUCGUUUGUUUUGGCCGUGUUUGUUUUUGUUUUUUCGACGCCAGGGUGGAAAGCUAGACAAAAGCGCAUCGGCGGGGUUGUGUGACUGUGUUAAGCUGCUGCUCAGCGUCUUUGAUCCAGGAUGGUGUACUAGGCAGGAUUUUGUUGCUGGAUUUCCCGAUGAUGGGACGGUGUUUAGGGGUUGAUGAGGACUGUUUUCAGAGAGGUAUGAAGAAAUUACGGUUCCAUGAGGAAUUUUCAGUUGACAGCUUUGCGUGAUAGAAUAAAUUCGUAGCAAUGCCCAGUUUCACCAGAAUGAAAAGGCUAUUCCUAGAGGGUCUACUAUGGCUAUAUUUGUUACAAUUUGGGCUUACGGUGCUGUCACUUGAACCUGGG